CGAGACGUAGCUUUAACUAAAGCAUUCAGCUUACGCCUGAAAGAUAUCCAAUAACCCUGGAUCGUCUCGA
rnacentral:tRNA from 1 species